CAAAAUAUAGCUUAAAUAAAGCAUCUUGCUUACACCAAGAAAAUGUUUAAUAAACUUAAACUAUUUUGAG
rnacentral:tRNA from 1 species